rnacentral:rRNA from 1 species
ACGUAAGGUGCGAGCGUUGUUCGGAAUUAUUGGGCGUAAAGGGCAUGUAGGCGGUCCGGCAAGCUUGGUGUGGAAUGCAGUGGCUCAACCACUGAACUGCAUUGAGAACUAUCGGACUAGAGUGAGUGAGGGGGAGCCGGAAUUCCAGGUGUAGGGGUGAAAUCUGUAGAUAUCUGGAAGAACACCAAUGGCGAAGGCAGGCUUCUAUCACAUGACUGACGCUGAGGUGCGAAGGUGAGGGGAGCAAACAG